GUACUGUCUUCACUAGUGCUUUUGUUGUAAAACUAAGCAAAUAUCUAGAGUUGAUGUACCACUUGGAAGACCUCUGGGUACGUGUACCCCUGGUUGAGAACCCUUGCUCUAGGCAACAUCCUAAGUUUAUGCCUAAGGUAGUGUGAGCCUUUCUUCUAAACCAAACCAUUAACUUUCUGAUGUUUUCCCCAAAGCCCCAUAUGUGUAAGGCUAAGGAACCACCUCCAUAUCUUGAAUGUUCCUAGAGCCCUGGUGUUUUACUUGGACCAUACAAGACCCUUUAGAUCUUUCCCCAGACCUUGUGUCUUAUGCUGAAAGAGCCAACGGUCAAUCAAUGUCAUCUCAGCAAAUCUCACUGGGCUUCUGACUCUCUCUCAGAUUCUGCCACGAGCUUUCUGAAGUGUCUCCUCCAUCAAGGAAAAACAGCUCACUCCGCCAGAACUAGUGUACCACUUCAACUUUCCUGAGCAAUGUUCCAAUAGUGGAUAUGUGCAAGGAAACAACAGAGUCAUCUGUGUGUACCUUCCCUACUCCUUAUACCAUCACUCAGGCCUCUCUUGAUGCCAGUUCUGGCAAGUCGGUGUUGCCAUCUGUCCUCAGAUGAUCCGAAGUCCCUCCAUCUGUGAAUGAACUGCUGAUGUCACCUAUAGUGGAGUGUGUGUGCGCACAAUCUACCUUCAGUGAACACAGAGAACAGUUGAUCUCCAUCCUCUUUAUAAUAGCCCUUAACAUAUUGAAGACUUGCAUCCCAAUGCAGUCAUCUUUUGUCAAGACUAAAUGUGCCCAAUUUUUUAAUCUUUCCUCAUAGGUCAGGCUUCCUAAACCUUUUAUCAUUUUUGUUGCUCUUGUCUGGAAUCUCUUCAAUUUAUUGACAUCUUAAUGUGUGGUGCCCAAAACUGGAUUAAUCAUUCCAGUUGAAGCCUCACCACUGCUGAGUACAGUGGCACAAUUACAUCCCAUAUUUUGCGUAUGGUAAUCCUGUUAAUAGAACCCAGAAUACUUAGCUUUUUUUACAGUUGCAUCAUGUGGUUGACUCAUCGUCAAUUUAUGAUCCGCUGUAACCCCAAGCUCCUUUUCUGCGAUGCUGCCUGGUUUGUCCAGUUCUGCUCGCUCUUCCACCUAUGCUCUUUCAAUGAGGCAAAAUUUGCUUCAAGACGUUCAAAUAAAUUUCAGCUCUUACCAUUUUAGAUGUUGCAUGUUAUCCGCCUCCCCCCAAAAAAGGAUAUUUAAAAUUGGUGGUUUGGUCUGAUUCAUUUGGAAGCUAAAAAAUACAUUCAGAAUUUAUGUUCAAUGAUUUAACCAGUGUAAAAAUCAUUUUGGAUUCCUAUUAUGUGACUACAAAUCACUUUUGAAACUACCUAGUAUUUUUCCUAGAAGGAGGAUGUGUGG